rnacentral:hammerhead_ribozyme from 1 species
GCAUUGCUGAGGAGUUGCACAAUAAGAUGAAACGGCCGUUCAGUGC